rnacentral:misc_RNA from 1 species
AGAUGAAGAACGUAGCGAAAUGCGAUAAGUAAUGUGAAUUGCAGAAUUCAGUGAAUCAUCGAAUCUUUGAACGCACCUUGCGCCUUCUGGUAUUCCGGAAGGCAUGCCUGUUUGAGUGUCAUGAACACCUCACCCCCUCGGGUUUCCGAUCGGGUGGAUUUGGGCGCUGCCAGUCACAUGGCUCGCCUUAAAUGCAUUAGCGGUUGUUGACGUAAUAAGUUUCGUCUGACCGGCCGCUGCCAAUCUCCUUCGGGAUGUCUGUCACCGGACACUUCAUGAUCUGACCUCAAAUCAGGUAGGACUACCCGCUGAACUUAAGCAUAUCAAUAAGCGGAGGA